UAAGAUUCAUAUAUUUAAUUAUUGUACACCAUAUAAUGUGCCAGUAAAUAACUUUACCCUUUCAACCCUUUACUUUGGAACAAAAUUCGGAUUAAGAUUUUGGUACUUAUCAGAAAUUUACAAGUACUCACCUGCAAAAUAUUAUGGAAAUAAUAUAACCCACGAUAUGGAAUUAGAUGAUCUAGUUUCUACCAGUAAAAUACUUUUUAACUCAAAAAAAUUGGAAAAUAAUUGUAAGCAAAACUGUACAAUUUGUUUUCAUGGUAACUGUUCUAAACAUAGAGCUCCACAGUGUAAUUAUGAAUAUUUAUAUAUUCUUAUUUUAAUCCCAAUUAUUUUCUUUAUUAUUAUGAUAUUUUAUUGUCUGAGGCAAAAGUACACGAUACAUUUAGAUUCGGAAAUAUACUAUAAAUUUUGUAGAAAAAAUAAUUCUACAAAUAAUGAUGAGGAACCUCCUUAUGAGUAUAUUCGACGUGAUAAUGGAAAGGAUGAAGAUGGAUAUUUGAAAGCGUUAACGAAAGAUACAAGGGUUGAAGAAUCUGAAAAUCCGGGAAUAUACCAAAAAUUUUUAGAAAAAAAUAACUCUACAAACUAUGAUGAGCAACAUCUUUAUAAUUAGUUCGACGUCACUGUGAAAACGACGAGGAUGGAUAUCUGUGUUCACGAAAGAUAUAAGAGAUGAA